GGCAAUCUGUAGGAGAUUGCAGCCAUGGCGGUUUUGAGAAACUCAAUACCUGAUCAUAGUGAGAUAUGAGCCUCAUUUGUUACUCUCUCUGUUUCAUUUUAUGUACGAUAAAGCUAUGAUUUUUUUUAUUUUUUUUUUGUGGAAGAUGAAUCAGACAUAUUUUUCUAUUGAGCUGGAAAAAAAACUCUAUCUUGGCAUGGCCGCUCAGAUGGGUCUGUGAGAUAUUGGGAAAAAUUCCAUCUUUAUGGUUUUUCUUCUAUAUCUCAUAAGGCUAACUGAUGCUUGCAGCUAGGGGUGUGCAUAAUUUGGCAUAUACCCUUUCUUUUUGAGAGCUUUUAACUGAAGACACCUCACCAGUCUGAAUUUAAGAAAAUAACUGGCCCUUUUAGGGAUGGGAAAUGCGAAGGUGAAAAAACCAAAAGAAUCUCCCCAGCAACGAAAUGUUAGCCUAGAAAGAAAAAAAAGAAAUGAGGCAAAAACAAGAGAGUUUGGAUUUUCUUUGCAAGAAUUUACUUACUUAAACAUGAGAAGAAAAGCGGCAAAGCAUGCAACAAGUUAGAUGAACCGACCCGUAUUUGGCGUGGCAACCAGGAUGGCCUGUGAUGCAGACUUCUGUCUCUCACAUGCAACCGGUAUUUUGCAGCCAUGGUGAGGUGGGGGAAGUGCAAUAGCCGAAUUGAGGACAGCUAUUUAAGGCAUAGCCGAAAUACAUAAAUUUUGCUCUGUGUUCCACCAUUGAUUUUCCUCCAUUUAUCAACCAACCAACAGCCCUCUGUUUAUUUGAAAAAGUUUGCUCUGUGUUCCGCCGUUGAUUUUCCUCCGUUAUCAAACAACCAACAGCCCACUGUGUUUAAAGCUCUUUGGAGAAUCUGAGCCUACCCUGUUACCUGGAUUGUUCUAGAAAAUUGAGGCUUCUGUGACUCUGAGAAUGCAGGAGUUCCUAAGGGUGCUUGCUCUGUUUCUCUAUGAGUUUAUAGUCUGAUGGAUUCUUUGGGUUUAGAGACAAGUUAUGCUGGUGGUGGUGAGCUUGAUUGACGGCUUGAACAACGCGGUGAUGAUUCUUUAAACCUUUCAUUCUCUUCUGAGCUUACAAAUAGGGCAUUUGAGACUAUCCAACCCGUAUCUUGGCAGGCCAUGUCCCCAGAUUUUCUGGUGGUUUCUGCAGCCAUGGCGUUGUUGGACUCUCUUUUCGCCUGAACUUAAACACAGAUUUUAGCCUCAAUUUUUGUGUGAUUUAAGAAAUGGUGUCUCAUUAGUUUAAGUGUGAGGCUGCGGCAAAAGCAGAGAGCUGUUGGGGAGUUUCAGUGGGUGAUUUUGCUCCUCUCUGUCAUUCUCCACCCCGAUGAUCACUCCAGUGAGAUUAUCCAAUUACAAAACCACCCUUCUGGUAAAAAUAACACAGUGUAAUCCCACAAAUGGGGUCCGGGGAGGAUUGUGUGUACGCAAACCUUAACCCUACCUUGUGAAGGUGGAGAGACUAUUUCUGAUUGACCCUUAGCUCAACGAAAGCAUAAUCACAGCAGUUUUGAGAAAGAAAUACGGUAUGGUGAAAAUACAUAAUGACCUCUUUGUAUUCCUAUUCUUGUUGUUCCCUCUGUUUCAUUUUAUGUUAGGCUAUGAAGAUUUUGUCUUCUGUGAAGUUGAAUCAGAUAUAUACUAAAUUGAGCUGAAGAAAACUGUUACAUGGCGUGGCAGCUCAGUGGGUCUGUGAGUGGGGGAAAAGUUCCAUUUUUGGUGUUUCAUCUCUCAUAAGUCUAACCGAUGCUUGCAGCCAUGGCGUUUUCCAAAGCUUUUUGGUUGUUAUCUGAAAAAAGUGAAUCUGAGCCUACCCAAAGUUCUUCUACCAGAAAAGCAAAGAGUUGAGCAUAGCCUAGAGAAUGAGGCAUCAGAGAGAUAGUGAGUUUUUGCUUUUGAUGGAAAAAAAGGUGGAAGAGCUCAGAUGCACUACUGUAUCUGUCCAGUAAUCAGAUAACUGCUGAGACCCGCAUCACCUCAUGAAGUGCACGGAUUCCUCACAGCUCAACCAGUUGAGCCAGCUAGGAAUUGAACCCGGGUCUGUAUCGUGGCAGGUACUGUUCUACCACUAGAUCACUGGUGCUUCUUAAAGAGAGAGCGAUUUUUUGUAAAGGGUGGUUGCGCAUCUCUGCUAUGCCUAUGAUUUCUCCAUUGUUACCCAAAAAACCAACAGCCCUUUCAAAUAAACAAGAAAAGAGAAAAAAAGAAAAACUUCAUCCAAACACACCCCUAAUAUAUUCCUCUUCUUUUUCCUCUCUCUUUGUGCUGCUGCUACCGGAUACUGAUGUUGUGAAGGGGAUCCGGCUCGUAUCUUGGCAGGGUGACCCGGUAUGGCUUUGUAUAGCAAAUCGGUGUCUGCAGCCAUGACAACGUCGCCUUUUCUUUUGCUUUGUCAAAACUUACAGCAAAUCUGAGCCCUCACUUUAACCCGAAGCCGCGUGUAAGUCUCGAUUUAAGAAAGUAACCCGAAGGUUAGCCCAGAUAAGAAAGAAACAAAUGAGGCAAAACAGAGAGUAUUGGGAUUUUCAUUAAAACGAUGGUUGCCCCUCCGUUCCGCCAUUGAUUUUCCUCCAUUAUCAAAACAAAUAAAUAACCAACAACCUUUUUGUUUAUGAAAAAAGCAGAAGCGAAAAGGAUUUAAGUUACAUAUAGUGACAUCUCUGGCUUUCCUCUAUGUGUGUGCGCGUGUAUUCUUUUGACAAGGUUGAUGGAAGAUACAUAACGUGGCAGUGAUGAUGAUGUUUAUAUAUUUGGGCUAACCAAUUCAGGCAUUGAGAUGACCCAGCCUGUAUCUUGGUGUGGCAACCCGGUAUGGCAUGUGAUGGAGAUUUUCUCUUCCUCAUAUGCAACCGGUGUUUGCAGCCAUGGUGUGGCUAGCUUCUCUUUUGCCUUAUCAUAAUACACAUCUGAGCCCCAUUUGCUUGAAAGAAAAAUAAAACAGAAACUUUUCCAUGAUUCAGUAUGGGGUUAAGUCGAACCUGCGGUUUUCUGAUUACAUGUUAUAAAGCAUCUUGAAACCCUCAAAUGUGGCAUCUGAGAAAAAUGUAAGGGUGGUUGGCCUACUUCUCUGGUAAGCCUAUGAUUUCACUUUGGUUACAAACAGCUUUAAUCAUAUUAUACCAUCAACUAUGGGGCUCCUCAUGGUUGAUCAAUUGAUAUAUUUGAUUGUACGCGAAGAAUAUGGAUAUAUAUUUUUGAUGUUGUUCCUGCUUGGGCUUUUGUGUAUGAUUUAUUUGAUCUCUACUUCUCCUAUGGCCCUUUGUGCAGAGCUAAUAUGAUCUUGCACUAUCUUUAAUUAUACGGUGGAUUUAUAUACAAGACAGUGCUGGGAAAUUCGGAGGUGAAAAGACCAAAAAAAUCCCAUAAUCAGAAAUGGUUAUCCCAGAAAGAAAUGAGGCAAAACAGGGCUUGGGAUUUUCUUAAAGGGUGGUUGCCCUGCUCUAUUGCACCAUUGAUUUUCCUCAAUAUUAAACAACCAACAGCCCUUGUUUAUUGAAUAGCAGAAACAGAAACUGGAAAAUGCAUAAAGGAUUUAACCUAUAUAUACUGACAUCUCUGUCUUUCAUCUGUGUAAGUGUAGAUAUUUUUUUUUUCCGGUGUUAAUGGAAGGUACAUGAAGAGGCCGUGAUGAUGGUGUUUCUAUAUCUGGGCUAACUAAUUCGGGCACUGAGAUUAACUGACCUGUAUAUUGGCGUGGCAAGCCGGUAUGGCCGGUGUUUGCAGCCUUGGCGUGGCUGGCUUCUCUUUGCCUCAUCAUUACAUGCUUGAAAGACAAAAAAAAAAAGAAUCUUUUCCAUGGUUGAAUGUUGGGAUAUGUCGAACCAAGUUAUAUAUCAUAUUGCUGUCCUAAUAUAUCUCCAUAUCUGUUCAGUAUCAGCUGAGCCCUCAUACCCAUUUUGGUGAAAUUUCAGUUCUGGUGUGUUUUGCGUUCUCCGAUGUCUGAUGAUUUUAUGCUUCAAACCAAACGGCUCCUCUUUUGUGGAGAAAAUUUAACUGAAAGACCUUAAUUUAACCUUGAGGCUUUGAGCGAUGAUUCUCAGAGUGGAUGACUAUCUCUGACAUGCGGAUGAUUUCUUUUAUUGCUUUAGACCUAACUGCUGAAGCUCGUAGAUCAGAUCAACUGGAGCUAAGAAGAAAAUAAACAAGAAGGUUGUAGAAUGAAGAAUACAUUGGAGAGCAUGUGAGCUGAAAAUGAUUGUAUAUUCACUCUGUAAAAAACUGAAUACAAGGAAAUAUGUCCUACUUAUAUACAAUGUGUAUGACAGCUCGACUAAUCAUUCUCCACUUACUAUCUAACCACUAACCACAUAAUUAGUUAUAACUAACCUUCAGCUAACUACACUAACUCACGUGACUGUCAUGUGUCACUCUUCUCCUCAAUACUAACAAUCCUUUGUGUCGUUUGUUUCAGUUCUUAUCUUCUCCUCAUCGGCUGCAUUUCAAUGCAAAGCAAGCAAAGUAUCACAUCAAUGAUGUCGGAAAAGGGAAAUGAUGGGGCUAUGAUGAUAAUGUUUGCUGAGCCAACUGAAAUCGGGCAUUGCAGUACAGUUGCCUCUAUCUUGGCGGGGCAACAUUAAUUACUGUUAUAUGCAGCCAUGGCAGGUGCGAGAGAACUCAAGUAGACCAUUAACAAUAGUAGUUGUAGUGUCAGUUGAUCACCCUUUGACCAUGUGGCUUCGCUACUGGUAGUAGUAGUAAUUGGACAGUUGGACCUCAUUCUGAUUUAUGAGCCUAGUCCAAAGGAUCCUAAUUUCUUGGAAUUAUGUAUUCAUUUUCUCAAAGCGGCAAUGAUGAUAUAUGGCAGGGCAAUCUUAGCGUUAAAAUGAUUGUAUCAAUUGCUUGAUAUUGGCGUUGAUUUGUGCCGCAGAAUAUAUCUGAUAUAUAGACUUUUAUAAAGCUACCCUUUUUCUAUGGAA